rnacentral:rRNA from 1 species
UACGGGGGGGGCAAGCGUUGUUCGGAAUUACUGGGCGUAAAGGGCUCGUAGGCGGCCAACUAAGUCAGACGUGAAAUCCCUCGGCUUAACCGGGGAACUGCGUCUGAUACUGGAUGGCUCGAGUUUGGGAGAGGGAUGCGGAAUUCCAGGUGUAGCGGUGAAAUGCGUAGAUAUCUGGAGGAACACCGGUGGCGAAGGCGGCAUCCUGGACCAACACUGACGCUGAGACGCGAAAGCGUGGGGAGCAAACAGG